rnacentral:rRNA from 1 species
CCUACGGGGGGCAGCAGUGAGGAAUAUUGGUCAAUGGACGAGAGUCUGAACCAGUCAAGUAGCGUGAAGGAUGACUGCCCUAUGGGUUGUAAACUUCUUUUAUAUGGGAAUAAAACAGGGCAUGCAUGCCUGCUUGUAUGUACCACAUGAAUAAGGAUCGGCUAACUCCGUGCCAGCAGCCGCGGUAAUACGGAGGGUCCGAGCGUUAUCCGGAUUUAUUGGGUUUAAAGGGAGCGUAGGUGGAUUGUUAAGUCAGUUGUGAAAGUUUGCGGCUCAACCGUAAAAUUGCAGUGGAAACUGGCAGUCUUGAGUACAGGAGAGGUAGGCGGAAUUCGUGGUGUAGCGGUGAAAUGCUUAGAUAUCACGAAGAACUCCGAUUGCGAAGGCAGCGCACUGGACUGCAACUGACACUGAUGCUCGAAAGUGUGGGUAUCGAACAGGAUUAGAUACCCGGGUAGUC